AUGUUCGGGCAAUCGCUCUGCUCCUUUAGAGCAGAGAGGAAAGUCCAUGCUCGCACAACCUGAAAUGGUUGUAAUGAUCGUGCCUGACGAAACGAUAAGUCAGGGCAGCUCGAUUUUUUGAGUUGACGGCGCAAGGGAGACCUACGUUCGUAAGAAUAGGGUUCACCUUCUGAAAGUGCCACAGUGACGAAGUCUUCGUGGAAACACGUAGAGUGGAACGCGGUAAACCCCACGAGCGAGUAACCCAAACUAUGGUAGGGGCACUUUCCCGACGGAAACGGAAGGGAAAGGCGAUUGAUUUCGCAGAUAGAUGAUUGCCAUCGCUAUGUAAGGUGAAGAGCCGCAGCACAGCGAUACAGAACAUGGCUUAUAGAA
rnacentral:RNase_P_RNA from 1 species